rnacentral:misc_RNA from 1 species
GAAAUGCGAUAAGUAAUGUGAAUUGCAGAAUUCCGUGAAUCAUCGAGUCUUUGAACGCACAUUGCGCUCUCUGGUAUUCCGGGGAGCAUGCCUGUCCGAGCGUCAUUUGCAACCCUCAAGCCCGGCUUGUGUGAUGGGCCAGCGUCCCCACGACCUUUCUCGGAGAUGGGACGGGCCCGAAAUGCAGUGACGGUGUCGAGGUAGACGACCCAAGUGUAUGGGGCUCUGUCACACGCUUGCGGUGCGGACCGGCGCCUGCUUGACUUUUCUGAUUAUCCAGGUUGACCUCGGAUCAGGUAGGGAUACCCGCUGAACUUAAGC